rnacentral:rRNA from 1 species
UUGAACGCUGGCGGCAGGCCUAACACAUGCAAGUCGAACGGUAACAUGAAGCAGCUUGCUGCUUCGCUGACGAGUGGCGGACGGGUGAGUAAUGUCUGGGAAGCUGCCUGAUGGAGGGGGAUAACUACUGGAAACGGUAGCUAAUACCGCAUAAUGUCGCAAGACCAAAGAGGGGGACCUUCGGGCCUCUUGCCAUCGGAUGUGCCCAGAUGGGAUUAGCUUGUUGGUGGGGUAACGGCUCACCAAGGCGACGAUCCCUAGCUGGUCUGAGAGGAUGACCAGCCACACUGGAACUGAGACACGGUCCAGACUCCUACGGGAGGCAGCAGUGGGGAAUAUUGCACAAUGGGCGCAAGCCUGAUGCAGCCAUGCCGCGUGUAUGAAGAAGGCCUUCGGGUUGUAAAGUACGUUCAGCGGGGAGGAAGGGAGUAAAGUUAAUACCUUUGCUCAUUGACGUUACCCGCAGAAGAAGCACCGGCUAACUCCGUG